CCAGCAAGAGAAGUGUCUACAGGAAGGAGCCAUAUUGGCAGUCUGGGAUUUGCUGAAACUCAGUGUGGAAGAUGCCGGUGAUUAAAUUCUCUUGUGUAGUCAUAACUUGCAAAUGCACUUGAAUGAGCAUGAAUUUAUUUUGCAUGUUCAUCACAACUUGAACUGAGUCAAACUUUCACUUCCUGGAGUCAUCGUUUCCAAGCAAGACUUCACACAAAACUUUCAUCUGGCCUCCAGCCAAUUGUCUGCAAUGCCUACAAGUGUGUCCUGCACUCCAGGCCCUCGAACAAUGGAAGUUCAGAAGUUUCCGCAAACAAAACUAAUCCAUCGUUUCCACUCCAAUAGAAAGUACCCUUCAUAAAAGAGACUGGUAAACAAUUCCUGAAGAGGAGUACUCCCUUCCAAAGAACUAUUUCAUCAGUUCCUUUCAAAAACACAUAUAUCCCUAAUCAAAUCCUCUCCUGCAAUGUCGACCCCAACAUUAUACAACUCCACAGCUGUAAACAAGGCUCUCCAAAGCUGAAAUGGAAAGUGAAUCACCAGCCACUAUGUCCUCCAUGCUCUAGAGCAGAGAAGCUGAAUUUCCUAGUGUCACAGCCUGUGCAGUAAUCAGACUCUAAUUCUGAUUCAGGGAAUAUUAAAAUACUUAGGGCCUCAUGAUCAUACAUGGUGGGGUCUUCCUAGGUCUCAAGGUUUAGGACACUGAGCAAAGUCCACUUGUUCCUAGUUUAGAAAAGUUUUCACAGAAAAGGGUAAACAAGGAAUGAGGAGCUGGGGCCCAGCAGCAGACAGCCAAGUAAGAUGCCCCACGAGCUCUUCCCAGGUUUCAUUGGAAAUUGGCAAAAUUGAGGGGUCAUCAGAAAUAUUUCAGUCUUGCGAAGUUACCCCUUUUUGUGAAAGAAGCUUACCUCUUUGAAAGAAUGUUAAGCAUCUCCAAAAGGCAUAAGAGAAAAGAAGUGAAAGAGGUGGAUUUUGAAAUACAUCUUCAACUUCACUUUGUGUAUGCAUGCACAGUGUUUCAAUGCCUGGCUAGGGAGCAGGUGGAGCUCAACUGUGCUGAAAAGUUCUCAUAUUUUUCAGGUAAUUAUUAUUUAUAGGUAUUUUUAAGUCAGUAAAAUGCUGUCAAUUCACCUCGACUAGGAAACAAACAGCGAUACCACAAAAAUCUGUAUGCUCAAAGCAACCACUAGAGGGGAACUUGCAGUUGCGCAGGUGAGGGAGCAUCCAGGUUACAGCUUGGUUUGGCUUUAUUUUUCAAGGGAAAUUCUUCAGUGGAAUUUUUUGUUUGGUUUGUUGUUGUUGUUGUUUGUUUGUUUGUUUGUUUAUAGUAUUUAGCAAUAGAAUUAGUAUGUCAAAGAAUGUAUACAUUAUUGUUUUUCUGUUAUAAUAAUAAUAAAACGUGUAUCUACCUUUCUU
rnacentral:lncRNA from 7 species